AAUGUGGCUGAGUGGUUGAAGCACCAAACUGUUAAUUUGGGUUACGUGGGUUCGAGCCCCACCGUU
rnacentral:tRNA from 1 species